rnacentral:rRNA from 1 species
GAUGAACGCUGGCGGCGUGCCUAAUACAUGCAAGUCGAGCGAACAGAUGAGGAGCUUGCUCCUCUGACGUUAGCGGCGGACGGGUGAGUAACACGUGGAUAACCUACCUAUAAGACUGGGAUAACUUCGGGAAAGCGGAGCUAAUACCGGAUAAUAUAUUGAACCGCAUGGUUCAAUAGUGAAAGACGGUUUUGCUGUCACUUAUAGAUGGAUCCGCGCCGCAUUAGCUAGUUGGUAAGGUAACGGCUUACCAAGGCAACGAUGCGUAGCCGACCUGAGAGGGUGAUCGGCCACACUGGAACUGAGACACGGUCCAGACUCCUACGGGAGGCAGCAGUAGGGAAUCUUCCGCAAUGGGCGAAAGCUUGACGGAGCAACGCCGCGUGAGUGAUGAAGGUCUUCGGAUCGUAAAACUCUGUUAUUAGGGAAGAACAAAUGUGUAAGUAACUAUGCACGUCUUGACGGUACCUAAUCAGAAAGCCACGGCUAACUACGUG